CACGUAGGGGGCGAGCGUUGUCCGGAUUUAUUGGGCGUAAAGAGCUCGUAGGCGGCUCAGUAAGUCAGGUGUGAAAACUCCAGGCUCAACCUGGAGACGCCACCUGAUACUGCUGUGGCUAGAGUCCGGUAGGGGAGCAUGGAAUUCCUGGUGUAGCGGUGAAAUGCGCAGAUAUCAGGAGGAACACCAGUGGCGAAGGCAGCACUCUGGGACGUGACUGACGCUGAGACGCGAAAGCGUGGGGAGCAAACAGG
rnacentral:rRNA from 1 species